AACAAUAUGUUUUCUUAGCUAGUAAAUUGGGAAAAUGGAUUUAUUUAUUUUUGAGUUUUCUAGAGCUUACAAUUUUAAGUGUAGCUUUUUUUGCUAUGUGAUUGUUACAUUCAUUUCAAAUCUAUUUUGGGCCUAAAAGAUUGAUUCUUGAAGGCUCUAUAAGGCUCGGGCUUCAAGGUGAGUGUUUUUAUGGUUCUGAGCGUCAGAAUUGUGUACAGGUUGAUUUCUUAGGG
rnacentral:lncRNA from 1 species